AUUGAACGCUGGCGGCAGGCCUAACACAUGCAAGUUGAGCGGAUGAAGGGAGCUUGCUCCUGGAUUCAGCGGCGGACGGGUGAGUAAUGCCUAGGAAUCUGCCUGGUAGUGGGGGACAACGUUUCGAAAGGAACGCUAAUACCGCAUACGUCCUACGGGAGAAAGCAGGGGACCUUCGGGCCUUGCGCUAUCAGAUGAGCCUAGGUCGGAUUAGCUAGUUGGUGAGGUAAUGGCUCACCAAGGCGACGAUCCGUAACUGGUCUGAGAGGAUGGUCAGUCACACUGGAACUGAGACACGGUCCAGACUCCUACGGGAGGCAGCAGUGGGGAAUAUUGGACAAUGGGCGAAAGCCUGAUCCAGCCAUGCCGCGUGUGUGAAGAAGGUCUUCGGAUUGUAAAGCGCUUUAAGUUGGGAGGAAGGGUUGUAGAUUAAUACUCUGCAAUUUUGACGUUACCGACAGAAUAAGCACCGGCUAACUCUGUGCCAGCCGCCGCAGUAAGAC
rnacentral:rRNA from 1 species